rnacentral:rRNA from 1 species
GAUGAACGCUGGCGGCAGGCCUAACACAUGCAAGUCGAGCGCCCCCGCGAGGGGGAGCGGCGGACGGGUGAGUAACGCGUGGGAACGUGCCCUCUGGUUCGGAAUAGCCCUGGGAAACUGGGAGUAAUACCGGAUACGGUCGAGAGACGAAAGAUUUAUCGCCGGAGGAUCGGCCCGCGUUGGAUUAGGUAGUUGGUGGGGUAACGGCCUACCAAGCCGACGAUCCAUAGCUGGUUUGAGAGGAUGAUCAGCCACACUGGGACUGAGACACGGCCCAGACUCCUACGGGAGGCAGCAGUGGGGAAUCUUGGACAAUGGGGGCAACCCUGAUCCAGCCAUGCCGCGUGAGCGAUGAAGGCCUUCGGGUUGUAAAGCUCUUUCGUGGGGGAAGAUAAUGACUGUACCCCAAGAAGAAGCCCCGGCUAACUCCGUGCCAGCCGCCGCGGUAA